GAUGAACGCUAGCGGCAGGCCUAAUACAUGCAAGUCGAGCGGUAACAGGUGUAGCAAUACAUGCUGACGAGCGGCGCACGGGUGCGUAACACGUAUGCAACCUACCUUUAACUGGAGGAUAGCCGCCCGAAAGGGUGAUUAAUACUCCAUAACAUUAUGAAAUAGCAUUAUUUUAUAAUUAAAGCUCCGGCGGUUAAAGAUGGGCAUGCGUCCGAUUAGCUAGUUGGCGAGGUAAAAGCUCACCAAGGCUACGAUCGGUAGGGGUUCUGAGAGGAUAUACCCCCACACUGGUACUGAGACACGGACCAGACUCCUACGGGAGGCAGCAGUAAGGAAUAUUGGACAAUGGAGGCAACUCUGAUCCAGCCAUGCCGCGUGAAGGAUGAAGGUGCUAUGCAUUGUAAACUUCUUUUGAACGGGAGAAAACCUUUGGUCGUGUACCGAAGCUGAUAGUACCGUUAGAAUAAGGGUCGGCUAACUUCGUGCCAGCAGCCGCGGUAAU
rnacentral:rRNA from 1 species